rnacentral:rRNA from 1 species
UACGGAGGGGGCUAGCGUUGUUCGGAAUUACUGGGCGUAAAGCGCACGUAGGCGGCUUUGUAAGUUAGAGGUGAAAGCCCGGGGCUCAACUCCGGAAUUGCCUUUAAGACUGCAUCGCUAGAAUUGUGGAGAGGUAAGUGGAAUUCCGAGUGUAGAGGUGAAAUUCGUAGAUAUUCGGAAGAACACCGGUGGCGAAGGCGACUUACUGGACACAUAUUGACGCUGAGGUGCGAAAGCGUGGGGAGCAAACAGG